UACGUAGGGUGCAAGCGUUGUCCGGAAUUAUUGGGCGUAAAGAGCUCGUAGGCGGUUCGUCGCGUCGGCUGUGAAAACCCGGAGCUCAACUCCGGGCCUGCAGUCGAUACGGGCGGACUUGAGUGUUGCAGGGGAGACUGGAAUUUCCGGUGUAGCGGUGAAAUGCGUAGAUAUCGGAAGGAACAUCAGUGGCGAAAGCGACUUCCUGGACCAAUACUGACGCUCAGGUGCGAAAGCGUGGGGAGCAAACAGG
rnacentral:rRNA from 1 species